UACAGAGGUCUCAAGCGUUGUUCGGAUUCAUUGGGCGUAAAGGGUGCGUAGGCGGCGCGGUAAGUCGGGUGUGAAAUCUUGGAGCUUAACUCCGAAACUGCAUUCGAUACUGCCGUGCUUGAGGACUGGAGAGGAGACUGGAAUUUACGGUGUAGCGGUGAAAUGCGUAGAUAUCGUGAGGAACACCAGAGGCGAAGGCGGUUACCUGGACAGUUACUGACGCUCAGGCACGAAAGCAUGGGGAGCAAAAGGG
rnacentral:rRNA from 1 species